rnacentral:lncRNA from 1 species
GUCUGGAUUUCCACUUCCCAGUUACUGAGUUAGCAGCAGAAACUUGAAACCUAUGGACAAUUUAAAAAUUAAUUUUACAAAAAUACUCUACAACCCCCCACCCCAGCCAAUGAGGAGCUGAGCUGUGUGGGCCACCUGUAGAACCCCCCCACACACACCAUCUGCCCAGGAGCAGAGCCAUGUGGGAGUCAGCAGCACCACCUGCCCCAGCUGCCAGCCAUGCAGUUAACUGGAUCCACACUGUAGAGGUGUAGGGUGUCAUAAAGGCCAUUGUUCUAAACUCUAGAAGAUAGAGAGUGAACAACAGAAAGAGGACCUCUCUCGGGCUCCUUAAUGAAAACUGAAGCCCACUGGAAAAAUGAAGGAAAUCUCUGGAAUAAAGGCAUACCAGAACACAGUAGUUGAGAAUUCUCAUCUUGGUGGACUGCGAGUGUGAAAGGAGUAGGUGUGGACCCCACAGCAGACCUGACGGACUGGAGGCGCUAACACCCUGAUCGUCAGGCUCCCGUGGACUUGUGCGGACAUCCGGCAGGGAUUCUUUUGUUAACCCCGUAUCUCCCCCUCUCCAUUCUUACCGACGUCACUCUUGGCACAGGUGAUGCCCGUGCUGCUUGAGGUUCCUAAGACCUUGUGCACGGCACAUCUUCACUCUGCCUACUUCCCCACAGAUG